AUACGCUUCCACCGUUUUCAGUUUACCUAUUUUCCAAAUGACGAUCUGCCAGCAUCUACACAAACACCUCCUGAUAAUACCACUGGAUCACCCUGGCAGGCGAGAGUCCCGUGUCCAGGCCCACCAGCCUAUCGAUUUAUAUUAUGUCUGGAUAGUUUAGAACAUCCUGACACCAGUAAUGACUGCAGUCUUGGUCGUGUGGAUACUGGAGCAGUAUCCGUAGAUAGCGGUUCACCCAUGAACAGUGGCAUGGACACCAUCUUCUUUGGUUCUGCUUUCGGUCAACCUCCAAAUGUUAUCCCUAACCCGAUGCCAUUUAACUUCCCCGAUUGGCCAGGCGGUAUUCGUGUGAAGGUGUAUAUUUCUUGCUGUCCAUUAAUACCCAGAUUACAAGAUGAAUGUCGGGAAGAGCUUAU